GACGAACGCUGGCGGCGUGCUUAACACAUGCAAGUCGAGCGAGGCCCCUUCUUCGGGAGGGUGUUCUAGCGGCGAACGGGUGAGUAACACGUGGGCAACCUGCCCUCAGCUCUGGGAUAACUCCAAGAAAUUGGGGCUAAUACCGGAUAUGACCGCUGACCGCAUGGUCUGGUGGUGGAAAGAUUUAUCGGCUGGGGAUGGGCCCGCGGCCUAUCAGCUUGUUGGUGGGGUAGUGGCCACCAAGGCGACGACGGGUAGCCGGCCUGAGAGGGUGACCGGCCACACUGGGACUGAGACACGGCCCAGACUCCUACGGGAGGCAGCAGUGGGGAAUAUUGCGCAAUGGGCGAAAGCCUGACGCAGCGACGCCGCGUGGGGA
rnacentral:rRNA from 1 species